GACGGAGGAUGCAAGCGUUAUCCGGAAUGAUUGGGCGUAAAGCGUCCGCAGGUGGCAGUUCAAGUCUGCUGUCAAAGACCGGGGCUUAACUUCGGAAAGGCAGUGGAAACUGAACAGCUAGAGUAUGGUAGGGGCAGAGGGAAUUCCUGGUGUAGCGGUGAAAUGCGUAGAUAUCAGGAGGAACACCGGUGGCGAAGGCGCACAUCUGGCCCGAUACUGACGCUGAGGCGCGAAAGCUAGGGGAGCAAACGGG
rnacentral:rRNA from 1 species